rnacentral:RNase_P_RNA from 1 species
AGAGUAGGCGUAGGCAGUUGCAGAUUAGUGUUAACACUAGUUUGAGGAAAGUCCGGGCUCCCCAAAGACCAAACUUGCUGGGUAACGCCCAGUGCGAGCGAUCGUGAGGAUAGUGCCACAGAAAGAUACCGCCUCCUGAAGUGUCAGGAGGUAAGGGUGCAAAGGUGCGGUAAGAGCGCACCAGCAGCGUCGAGAGGCGCUGGCUCGGUAAACCCCGGUUGGGAGCAAGGCCGAAGGAACCACGGUUGGUCUUUUUCCGGUACCUGACCAUUUGAGAGCCGCUAGAGGCAUCUGGUAACAGGUGUCCCAGAUAGAUAACUGCCCUUGAAAGUGACUUCGGUCAAUUUUAAGAACAGAACCCGGCUUAUGUCCGACUCUUUCC